AGCGGCGGACGGGUGAGUAACACGUGGGUAACCUGCCCAUAAGACUGGGAUAACUCCGGGAAACCGGGGCUAAUACCGGAUAAUAUUUUGAACUGCAUGGUUCGAAAUUGAAAGGCGGCUUCGGCUGUCACUUAUGGAUGGACCCGCGUCGCAUUAGCUAGUUGGUGAGGUAACGGCUCACCAAGGCAACGAUGCGUAGCCGACCUGAGAGGGUGAUCGGCCACACUGGGACUGAGACACGGCCCAGACUCCUACGGGAGGCAGCAGUAGGGAAUCUUCCGCAAUGGACGAAAGUCUGACGGAGCAACGCCGCGUGAGUGAUGAAGGCUUUCGGGUCGUAAAACUCUGUUGUUAGGGAAGAACAAGUGCUAGUUGAAUAAGCUGGCACCUUGACGGUACCUAACCAGAAAGCCACGGCUAACUACGUGCCAGCAGCCGCGGUAAUACG
rnacentral:rRNA from 1 species